rnacentral:siRNA from 1 species
AGAGUCGUUAAAGUUGAGCACAUA